AGCAGCCGCGGUAAUUCCAGCUCCAAUAGCGUAUAUUAAAGUUGUUGCAGUUAAAAAGCUCGUAGUUGAAUUUCGGGGUCAGUAGGCUGGUCGUGCCACAGGUACGUACUGGUCUCACUGAUUCCUCCUUCCUGAUGAACCGUAAUGCCAUUAAUUUGGUGUUGCGGGGAAACUGGACUGUUACUUUGAAAAAAUUAGAGUGUUUAAAGCAGGCUAACGCUUGAAUACAUUAGCAUGGAAUAAUGAAAUAGGACGUUCGAUCCUAUUUUGUUGGUUUCUAGGAUUGACGUAAUGAUUAAUAGGGAUAGUUGGGGGCAUUAGUAUUCAAUUGUCAGAGGUGAAAUUCUUGGAUUUAUUGAAGACUAACUACUGCGAAAGCAUUUGCCAAGGAUGUUUUCAUUAAUCAAGACGAAAGUUAGGGGAUCGAAGACGAUCAGAUACCGUCGUAGUCUUAACCAUAAACUAUGCCGACUAGGAAUCGGAUGAUGUUAUUUUUAAUGACUCAUUCGGCGCCUUACGG
rnacentral:rRNA from 1 species